GCCUCCUCUACCACUUCUCGAUGUCCAUCCCAGCAGCCUCAGUUACAACUGGCUUCCUGAAGAAAGUUUUCAAAAACGUUAUGUAUUAGUCAUUGAACCCUAGACUACGCUAAAAGGUUCUUGGCCUUUGUAGAAGGGGAUGGUUCAUUGUUGUCCCACUGCCUGGUAACAACUCAAGUGACAGAGCCUGGAAAUGGGACCCAGAAGUAUACUGUAAGAGAAGACACCACACCCAGAAGAGGGUGGCAACCCCAGCUUCUUGUACUCCAGUUGGGGGAUUUGAACUUUUUGCAUUCAUGCAAUGCAAGGAAGCAUCUUAUUUAUCACCCUUGAAAUUGCCAUUUGGAGAAAGCAUCUUAAAAGACCACCUGAGCAGUUUUUUAGAGUCAGUGUAUUAGUCCAUUCUCACACUGCUAAUAAAGACAUACCUAAGACUGGGUAAUUUAUAAAGGCA
rnacentral:lncRNA from 10 species